AAACCCAUUCUUCAGUACAUCACUUAUAUUUACCACUCCCAGGUCUCUUAGCCCCCUUCUCAGGACAUCUCCCUCUGCCUCGUACCUCUGACAUGCCAUCAAAACAUGGUCCAGUUUCCUCUACUUAUCGCACCCUUCCAUUACGAUGUUUCCCAACCACAGAGGGAACUGUUAAGACCAGUAUGGCCAUUUCCUAUUCUUGUCAUUACCCUCUCCUCUUUUCUCUUUUGUCCACUAGCUCCUGCACUCCCAACAAAUGGUUUGUUUUUAAAAAGAUUUUAGAUUCUUUGUUCCAUUCAUUCUGCCAUAUCUUUUUGAUUUGUCCCUUAAUCACCCCUUUAGCCUCUGACUUACUCAUCUUUAUAUUGACUAUAUUUCUCCCACUUUUCAGCGCCCUUUUUGCUGCUUGAUCCGCCUCCUCAUUUCCAUCGACUCCAACAUGGGCAGGGACCCACACAAACCUUACUGCCAUCUGCAUUUGAUGGAUUAUGAAUAGAGAUUGUAGAAUUUCAAACAUUACAUUUUCUCUGCUUCUGGAGUGGCAAAACUUCCCUACUCGUUAGCACGGCACAUGAGUCUCUGGCCUGACGUCCUCUACCCACCGUAGAGAAAAAACUAUGGCCAUCAUCUCGCAUGUAAACACUAAUAAGUCAUCACUGAGUAUUUUCUCACACUAGAAUUCUGGUAUCACUGCUGCAGCUGCUCUUCUACCAGUUUCAGGGUCCUUAGCGCCGUCUGUAUACAUUUUUAUAUAUCUAUGGUAAUUCCUUCUGAUAUAUGACUUGCAGAUCUUACAUUUACCCCCACACUCAUCUCUCAUCAGUUCAAGUAGUCCCAGGUCCACUUCAGGCUGUGGCAGUGUCCAAGGGCGAACAGCUGGCUAUAAUGGUGAAUCUCAUUAGGGUCAACAGGUGCAAUUGACUGCAGGUGCGCAGCUCUGCCCCUUUAAAGAACCUGGUGUGGUACGGAGGAAGGCAGCAGUUGGAGCAGCACGGAGCGGAGGUGUACAAGAGGACUUUGACCAAAGAAUUGGGACCACUGGUUUUAACGAGCUUUUAGAAAUCCGUCCGCCAUUUUGAUUUAAAUAUAUUGGUAAGACAAUUGUCCUCGUGGCGUAAUUACCCACGUUAGCCUUGUCCGUGCUGGCCCAAUCUGGCGUCCUUUUAAGUAGACUGCUUUUUAAAUAGAUGUGCAUCUCUUUUACUGGGCUUUUACGGUGUUGACUGCUUUUAGAUUCAGUCAUUUUAGACAUUGUUUUUAUAUUGAGUUUGACUAUUUUUAACUGUAGUUUAUGAUUCAGAGUGGAAUAUAUUGUAUUUUAAAUUCAUUUGAGUUGUCAACUAUUGUGGCGCUCACACACCACCUCACUGCGGAACCAUCCUUUGGUUGCACCUGAACGUACUGCAGGAACACAAUGUCCAGCUCUUCCUCUUUAG
ensembl:lncRNA